UGCGUACCUUUUGUAUAAUGGGUCAGCGACUUAUAUUCUGUAGCAAGGUUAACCGCAUAGGGGAGCCGGAGGGAAACCGAGUCUUAAUUGGGCGUUAAGUUGCAGGGUAUAGACCCGAAACCCGGUGAUCUAGCCAUGGGCAGGUUGAAGGUUGGGUAACACUAACUGGAGGACCGAACCGACUAAUGUUGAAAAAUUAGCGGAUGACCUGUGGCUGGGGGUGAAAGGCCAAUCAAACCGGGAGAUAGCUGGUUCUCCCCGAAAGCUAUUUAGGUAGCGCCUCGUGAAUUCAUCUCCGGGGGUAGAGCACUGUUUCGGCUAGGGGGCCAUCCCGGCUUACCAACCCGAUGCAAACUGCGAAUACCGGAGAAUGUUAUCACGGGAGACACACGGCGGGUGCUAACGUCCGUCGUGAAGAGGGAAACAACCCAGACCGCCAGCUAAGGUCCCAAAGUCAUGGUUAAGUGGGAAACGAUGUGGGAAGGCCCAGACAGCCAGGAUGUUGGCUUAGAAGCAGCCAUCAUUUAAAGAAAGCGUAAUAGCUCACUGGUCGAGUCGGCCUGCGCGGAAGAUGUAACGGGGCUAAACCAUGCACCGAAGCUGCGGCAGCGACGCUUAUGCGUUGUUGGGUAGGGGAGCGUUCUGUAAGCCUGUGAAGGUGGCCUGUGAGGGUUGCUGGAGGUAUCAGAAGUGCGAAUGCUGACAUAAGUAACGAUAAAGCGGGUGAAA
rnacentral:rRNA from 1 species